GCCGACGUAGCUCAGCGGUAGAGCAACUGAUUCGUAAUCAGUAGGUCCGCGGUUCGAACCCGCGCGUCGGCACCA
rnacentral:tRNA from 1 species